rnacentral:rRNA from 1 species
AAGUCGUGCACGCCGGAGUGUCCUCUCACAUAAUAAUCCAUCUCACCCUUUGUGCACCACCGCGUGGGCACCCUUUGGGAUCAGACCGAUCUCGGAGGAUGCUCGCGUUUUCACACAAACCCCCCUUAUAAAAGUGUAGAAUGUCCUCAUUUAUGCGCUAACCCGCAAUCAAUACAACUUUCAACAACGGAUCUCUUGGCUCUCGCAUCGAUGAAGAACGCAGCGAAAUGCGAUACGUAAUGUGAAUUGCAGAAUUCAGUGAAUCAUCGAAUCUUUGAACGCACCUUGCGCCCCUUGGUAUUCCGAGGGGCACACCCGUUUGAGUGUCGUGAAAAUCUCAACCUCCUUGGUUUCUUCUGGAGACCAAAGGAGGCUUGGACUUUGGAGGCAUUUGCUGGCAUCUUCUCUCUUUUGAAGGCCAGCUCCUCUUAAACAAAUUAGCGGGGUCCUCUUUGCCGAUCCUUGACAUGUGAUAAGAUGUUUCCAUGCCUUGGUUUCUGGCUCUGUUGCUUUUGGGACCCGCUUCUAACCGUCUUGACCUUGCAUCGAGACAAUGUUCGAGCUCGUCUCCCUUCUCGGAAGACUCUCGACCCCACGAACCCUUGACCUCAAAUCGGGUGAGACUACCCGCUGAACUUAAGCAUAUC